rnacentral:rRNA from 1 species
CUUUCAACAACGGAUCUCUUGGCUUUCGCAUCGAUGAAGAACGCCGCGAAAGCGCGAAACGUAAUGUGAAUUGCAGAAUUCAGUGAAUCAUCGAAUCUUUGAAGACGCAUUCUKSCGYUCCUUGGUAUUCCCGAGGAGCAUGCCUGU